rnacentral:pre_miRNA from 1 species
UCUAUACUCCCUCCGUCCUAAAAUAAGUGACGUGGAUUUGUAUAGAUUUAUACAUUUAUACAAAUCACGUCACUUAUUUUGGGACGGAGGGAGUAGUAU